UUUAUAAAAUAGUGUUAAAGUUACUUUAUUUCUUGAAUUAAAAACGCUGAGGGUGUUUAUGAGUCUGGACUCUGCUAAGAGGACGAAGAAGACAAGUGCCUCGUGUGGACUGUUGCUAGGACGAGCAUUAGUCGUUGCUAUGGAGGAGCACAACUUUCAUCAGCUGCCAGUGGACAGAGGUUUUGAACUAAACAAACAACGUUUCUAUCCAGUUAGAGUCCUCCCUGUGAGACUCUGAUUUGUCCAGUUGAGAGGAAGACAACAUCUGGUGUGGUCAGAGGUUCAGAGGUUUUCUUUCCUCUGUACCAGAAGUAUUUCCAACCAGAUGAUGAUGGGUUCACAGAGCAGUUUGUUGAAUUGCAGGUUGUGGCUGGUGAUUGGACGGGAGAACAAAUGUGGUUACUUUAAAAUGGAACUUGCUGAUGCUGGCUUCAUUCUCUCUUUUCCCUGACUCUCAAUCAAACUGUGCUGUGCCAAAAUGUGUCGUGCUACCAAGUGUCUAAUCUCUGAAGUAUCUUGUAAAAGAGCAGACCUUACAGCUCUUUGGGUAAGAAAACCUUUUUGUUAAUUUAUUUUCACCUGUUUAUGUUAAGGAGGAAGUACGAUGCCUGUGUUUUCUUUUGUUUUCUUUUAGAUAAGUAUCAUAAAAUGAUAUAUGGUUCUGUUAACUGUUUUAGCCAUGCUCUC